AUAUACGACCGUACCGCAACCGACACUGGUGCGCGAGAUGAGUAUUCUAAGGCGCUUGAGAGAACUCAGGAGAAGGAACUCGGCAAAUUGACACCGUAACUUCGGAAGAAGGUGUGCCCUAUUAGUGUGUAGUGAACAACGAAGCAUGAAUGGGUUGCAAAAAAUCGGUGGCUGCGACUGUUUAUUAAAAACACAGCACUCUGCAAACACGAAAGUGGACGUAUAGGGUGUGACGCCUGCCCGGUGCUGGAAGAUUAAAUGAUGGGGUGCAAGCUCUUGAUUGAAGUCCCAGUAAACGGCGGCCGUAACGAUAACGGUCCUAAGGUAGCGAAAUUCCUUGUCGGGUAAGUUCCGACCUGCACGAAUGGCGUAACGAUGGCCACACUGUCUCCUCCUGAGACUCAGCGAAGUUGAAAUGUUUGUGAUGAUGCAAUCUCCCCGCGGAAAGACGGAAAGACCCCAUGAACCUUUACUGUAGCUUUGUAUUGGACUUUGAACAGAUCUGUGUAGGAUAGGUGGGAGGCUUUGAAGCAGGGUCGCUAGAUCUUGUGGAGCCAACGUUGAAAUACCACCCUGGUGUGUUUGAGGUUCUAACCUAGGUCCAUUAUCUGGAUCGGGGACAGUGCAUGGUAGGCAGUUUGACUGGGGCGGUCUCCUCCCAAAGCGUAACGGAGGAGUUCGAAGGUACGCUAGUUACGGUCGGACAUCGUGACGAUAGUGCAAUGGCAUAAGCGUGCUUAACUGCGAGACUGACAAGUCGAGCAGAUGCGAAAGCAGGACAUAGUGAUCCGGUGGUUCUGUAUGGAAGGGCCAUCGCUCAACGGAUAAAAGGUACUCUGGGGAUAACAGGCUGAUACCGCCCAAGAGUUCAUAUCGACGGCGGUGUUUGGCACCUCGAUGUCGGCUCAUCUCAUCCUGGGGCUGUAGCCGGUCCCAAGGGUAUGGCUGUUCGCCAUUUAAAGAGGUACGUGAGCUGGGUUUAAAACGUCGUGAGACAGUUUGGUCCCUAUCUUCCGUGGGCGCUGCAGAUUUGAGGAAGCCUGCUCCUAGUACGAGAGGACCGGAGUGGACACACCUCUGGUGUAUCGGUUGUCACGCCAGUGGCAUUGCCGAGUAGCUAAGUGUGGAAGAGAUAACCGCUGAAAGCAUCUAAGCGGGAAACUCGUUUCAAGAUGAGAUCUGCCGGGGCCUUGAGCCCCCUAAAGAGUCGUUCAAGACCAGGACGUUGAUAGGUCAGGUGUGGAAGCUAAAAG
rnacentral:rRNA from 1 species